UCACCCAACAGGGAGAACAGCAGACAUAGCAGACAUAAAAAUGGGGAGCUACUUGGUACGGUCAGCAAUGCCUGCAAACUGAGGGAAAGGCUGUUUUUUUUUUGGUUCCCAAACAGCACGAGACUCUGCUGCUUUGAAAUUUAUGCGUGAUGCAGAACCACAAGACAGAACAAGGAUGAGACAGCAAGCUACAAGUUUGGAACCCUUGAAGUCCUGGUGGGGGUGACCUGGUGCUGCCUACAGUCUGCUGCAACUUCUUAGGUGCUGCAACUUCUUCCUAGUUACUACCAGAGGCCAGCAAGAAUGUUGACUUGAUCAUCUCAGCCUGAACGUGAUGUUAAAACAUCUGCCCUUGGAUAAAGCAGAGGGAACAGAGACAGAUGGAGGAUCAGCUAAAAGAACUGCAAAACCAGGGGCUGUUGCACUCCGGGAGCACAGACGGGGCCUGCCGGCCGCAGCGAUACACAGAGAUCAGUCACGUCACGUUGGAAGAGGCAGGAAA
rnacentral:lncRNA from 1 species